UGUGAAAGCUCGCUAACGUCAUAAUAAAAGCUUUGGGUGUCAAAUAUGUAUGCUUAAAUAUUUAUAGAAGUUUUUAUUUAGAAAGUUUAUAUUACAGCAACUUUUGGCUAGAGAAAGCUUCACCUUUUACCUUAUUCAAGUAAAUAAAUGAUUUUCCAAUGGCGCCCUCGGGACGCGAUGUUGUUUUCAUGGUGCCUGUCCAGUCUAUAACUAACUUUUCAGUCACUGAUGACCAUGAGAGUACGAUUCUAGCUCGCAGAGCUGGCGUCAAUUGACCACCAAGACUUUAUGCAAAUAUACCCAAGACAUUGUUUAAACUCUGCAUCGCUAUUACAAAGUGAUUGAAAAUGGAUCCGCUCGUAUAGGUGCCGCCAUAAGAAAAAAUUUUUAUUCCAUACAUAAUGGCAUUCGUGGGCCUUUCAAAUAACAAAAGAUUCUUGUCGAUACCUCACGCACCGGUCGUUUCAUUCCAUUCCAUUUGAAUAUGUACCCGACCUUAUUGGACAACUCUUUAUAAAACAGACGACCAAAGAGAGCUUUUACCUUUAGCGCGCCCAUGUUAAAUCCACAAAAUACUUAAAAAAGCUUUUAAUGUAGGUUACGUUUCGAUCGCCACUGAAGCAAAAUGUACAGAAAGCUUAGAAAAUCUUUUUGCGCAUAUCCAUGGAGUAGCCAACUGUGCUGGACAAAAUAAUAUAUUUGCGCAGAGCUUUUUUAAACUUCCUAUGCAUUUAAUGUAGGCAUCACCAAGAUGAAAGCUAUACUUGCCCAUCACUUCAGUAGAACAUUUGGCUUAAAACAAAAGCUUUUUGGACAACUCUUUAUAAUAAUUAUCUAAAAGCUCUCAAGUUUACAACUUUUAUUUCCUCAUAACAACGCUUCGCAUCAGCACUCUAAAUGCUAAAGU